UCUGCCUGCGCAAAGGGGCUCUUCUCAGGGUCUACGCUUGAGGGUGCAGCCCCAGGGGCACGCUGAGCGCCCGAAGGCGCCCUAAACGGAGGGGCGGGGUCACUGUCCGAGACGGCACCCCCUGUACGCCAUAGACAAGCGGCUACCGCGGCCUCCUCCAAAACUGCAGGCAGACAGGGCGGCGCAGAAAGCCCAGGGCAACCCAACCCCACUGAAAGGGCAGACAGGCUGGCGCAGAAAUCCCCGGCAACCCAGCACCACUCAGAGGGGAAGAGUCCUCCCCUGGCCCAGCAGCGAAUGAAGAGCCCGAGGCUCCGCCCCUGGCCCAGAGCCUGACCCCGCCCACUGGACGGCGCGUGCGCAAAGGUCCGGGAAACAGAGAACAAAAGAAGCCUCAUUAAAAUACUCCACUGGGCCUCCCUGGUGGCACAGGAGUUAAAGACUCAGCACUAUCAAGCUAUCACCAGCCACUGCAGCAAGAGUUCAAUCCAUAGCCAGGGAGCUGACCCACAUGGCAUAGCAGACCUCUCCUGUCUCGCCCACUGCCCACUGUCUCUGGUGAAU